rnacentral:rRNA from 1 species
CCUACGGUGGCAGCAGUGGGGAAUAUUGGACAAUGGGCGAAAGCCUGAUCCAGCCAUGCCGCGUGUGUGAAGAAGGCCUUCGGGUUGUAAAGCACUUUCAGUGGGGAAGAAAGCCUUGGGGCUAAUACCCUCGAGGAAGGACAUCACCCACAGAAGAAGCACCGGCUAACUCCGUGCCAGCAGCCGCGGUAAUACGGAGGGUGCGAGCGUUAAUCGGAAUUACUGGGCGUAAAGCGCGCGUAGGCGGUCUGAUAAGCCGGUUGUGAAAGCCCCGGGCUCAACCUGGGGACGGCAUCCGGAACUGUCAGGCUAGAGUGCAGGAGAGGAAGGUAGAAUUCCCGGUGUAGCGGUGAAAUGCGUAGAGAUCGGGAGGAAUACCAGUGGCGAAGGCGGCCUUCUGGACUGACACUGACGCUGAGGUGCGAAAGCGUGGGUAGCAAACAGGAUUAGAUACCCUAGUAGUC